rnacentral:rRNA from 1 species
AGCAGCCGCGGUAAUUCCAGCUCCAAUAGCGUAUAUUAAAGUUGCUGCAGUUAAAAAGCUCGUAGUUGAAUUUCGGGACCAAUAUGUCGGUCGUGCCUCGGUACGUACUGGCAUCGUUGGUUUCUCCCUUCUGACGAACCAUGAUGUCAUUUAUUUGGUGUCGUGGGGAACCAGGACUGUUACUUUGAAAAAAUUAGAGUGUUUAAAGCAGGCUCACGCUUGAAUACAUUAGCAUGGAAUAAUGAAAUAGGACGUUUGAUUCUAUUUUGUUGGUUUCUAGGAUCGACGUAAUGAUUAAUAGGGAUAGUUGGGGGCAUUAGUAUUCAAUUGUCAGAGGUGAAAUUCUUGGAUUUAUUGAAGACUAACUACUGCGAAAGCAUUUGCCAAGGAUGUUUUCAUUAAUCAAGAACGAAAGUUAGGGGAUCGAAGACGAUCAGAUACCGUCGUAGUCUUAAACCAUAAACUAUGCCGACUAGGGAUCGGAUGAUGUUAAUUUUUAAUGACUCAUUCGGCGCCUUAA